rnacentral:misc_RNA from 1 species
CUGGGUGGCUGCUGCAAUGCGAUGAUGAUUCAAUACAUGGUUUUGGCAGUGGUUACCCCUUGUGGUCACCAUAAUUUCACGAACGAACGCACCUUUCCUCAACACGGGUCGAAUCGGACAUCCAAGGCCAAACAAAUCCUUGAUAAAACCCGCAUUCAGUAUCGUCUGACAGCAGAGAGCAACUUCAGCGCCACCCGUUGCUUCACCUUGCCGCCUGAAACCACAACGGCGCCGUCCCUGACCAGAGCGUUAUCCACCGGCCGAUCUGAAUGUAUCAUGCCUAGCAGUUCCGAGUUUCUGCGGCGGGGUAUCAUUGUUUGA